AACAAAAACAAAUUAAACCCCAAACACAGUGAGUGUGUCUGGGGGAUCGAUCGAACAAGGCAGGAGGAGGGGGAAACCCUAAACUCAAGAAAUCAAGCAAUUGAAGCCUAAAAUCAUAAGAAAAUCCAGUGCAUGAGCCCUCUUAUCGAUCAUCUAAGCAUACCUAGUAAAGUGCUUGAAAGAAUAAGAACCAUGUCAAGAUGGACCAACUCAUGGGAAGCAAACGGGUCAAAGAGGAGGCAAAGAAACUAGCAUAAACAUGGCGAGCACAAGGUUUAUGAAUGUCGGACUUUCGAAGUGUUGAUAUAGUAAUGAAAUGAUUGAAUGUUGGAAGGAUAAUCGGGUUGAAGUAACUUAAGCGGUUAGAAUAUGCUAUGGACGUUUUAGUUUAUACAAUAUUUUAUGUUUGGUCGUCACCACCUACUAACGGGUUAGUUGUAUGAGAGUAUAUGUCAUACCCAUUUAAUUGGGUAAUCGAAUGCGUAAGAGAAAUGAAAGUACGUACACGAAUGGAACUAAAAUGACGGUUUUAUAAGCAAACA